CGGUUGUUUCUAGCUCGACACUCGUGGUGCCAUGCGAGUUCUUGUAACUCAAAUCUUAGCUUCCGAUUCCGGGAGCUUACCAUGGGAAAAGUCCCCGGGCAUGCGACUGAAAAGUCAGGGUGAAACCUAAGUGCUCUUUGAUGGAAUCCUUUCGGUAGCGAGUUCACUCGCUGCAGACAGAGGACAUCUGUGCCACAUUACGAAAGUUAUGUUGAGAAUUACUGGUUCCCUUGUGGAUCCCAGCAAUUUACACAAUGGGGCUUACUUAGAAACGACU
rfam:Anopheles sinensis unplaced genomic scaffold AS2_scf7180000695540, whole genome shotgun sequence.